rnacentral:rRNA from 1 species
AGGACGAACGCUGGCGGCGUGCUUAACACAUGCAAGUCGAGCGGUAAGGCCCUUCGGGGUACACGAGCGGCGAACGGGUGAGUAACACGUGGGUGAUCUGCCUCGCACUCUGGGAUAAGCCUGGGAAACUGGGUCUAAUACCGGAUAUGACCAUGGGAUGCAUGUUCUGUGGUGGAAAGAUUUAUUGGUGCGAGAUGAGCCCGCGGCCUAUCAGCUUGUUGGUGAGGUAACGGCCCACCAAGGCGACGACGGGUAGCCGGCCUGAGAGGGCGAUCGGCCACACUGGGACUGAGACACGGCCCAGACUCCUACGGGAGGCAGCAGUGGGGAAUAUUGCGCAAUGGGCGGAAGCCUGACGCAGCGACGCCGCGUGCGGGAUGAAGGCCUUCGGGUUGUAAACCGCUUUCAGCAGGGACGAAUUCAGACGGUACCUGCAGAAGAGCGCCGGCUAACGUACGCGCCAGCAGCCGCGGU